rnacentral:rRNA from 1 species
AGAACGAACGCUGGCGGCAGGCCUAAUACAUGCAAGUCGAACGCACCUUCGGGUGAGUGGCGGACGGGUGAGUAACACGUGGGAACGUGCCCUUUGGUUCGGAACAACACAGGGAAACUUGUGCUAAUACCGGAUAAGCCCUUCGGGGGAAAGAUUUAUCGCCAUUGGAGCGGCCCGCGUCUGAUUAGCUUGUUGGUGAGGUAAAGGCUCACCAAGGCUACGAUCAGUAGCUGGUCUGAGAGGAUGAUCAGCCACACUGGGACUGAGACACGGCCCAGACUCCUACGGGAGGCAGCAGUAGGGAAUCUUGCGCAAUGGGCGAAAGCCUGACGCAGCCAUGCCGCGUGGAUGAUGAAGGUCUUAGGAUUGUAAAAUCCUUUCAGCGGGGAAGAUAAUGACGGUACCGCAGAAGAAGCCCGGCUAACUUCGUGCCAGCAGCCGC